rnacentral:lncRNA from 1 species
UGUCAUACACUCUCAAAUGUAUUGAGCAAUUAUCGUCAAUUUAUUUUGAAUUGUGUGUAACAUGCAAUUGACAACGGUCUGAAAAAUUGCAGAAAAAAAAAUACAGAAAACCAAUCGACUAAAUUGACUAAAGUACAUUUUCAAAUUGUGCAAGAAUACUUAAAAUAAUUAAUUUUAGAAAUGUUAUGUAUAUAACAUAAAAGCAAUCUUGAGUAAUUCAGUUUAUUUAAUAGUGUGCAAUUUUAAAUAAAUUUAAUGUCACAUUUUGCUGUAGUCAGAGUUUAGUCCCGACUCAAAGUCUUUCACAAAAAUAUAUCUAAUGGCCAAUGAAUGAGUGGAGAGUGGAGACCUGCAGCCAUCUGAUGAUGUUUUAAUAUGAACAAACCAUAUGCUGUGUGUGCACAUGUUUCCAUGUUAGCUUUGGCUGCAAUACAACAACACUGCGAAACAAUCUGCAAAAUUACAGUAAGUGAGCACCGCGAAAGCGAAACAUAAAAAACGACGCUUGAAACAAUCAAACCGUAAUUAUUGUUAAUGAUACUAUCAUUACAAAAUGAUUGUAUACGCCUGCCGGACACUUUACAUGUGACUUUUGAUAUGUCGUAUAUUCACGAUUACGUAUAUAUGGCUGUGUGCCAAGCACCCCUAUAUCCACAAACAGCCAUCGCUACUCGACAAAUAAAUAAUAUGGUUGGGAACGAAAUGAAAUAUGAGCCAAAGGCAACCGAAUAGCUACUGCCACAGCAAGAGCAGUAAGAAAUAUGCAUGUAAACAAAUAAAUAAAUGAAAAUUCACAAAUGCUUACUAAUACUAUGUGAAGGAUCAAGAGAAUGACCUCCUAACAAUGGCGGCUGAAUAAGUUUUUGAAAAAGGAUCAAAUUGAGUUACAAAUCACUUAAAUUCAUGGCUGGAUUCUUGAAAAAUUAACUAGAACGACGUUUUAUCUAAUGAUUUCUUUGUAUUUGAAUGGCUGUCUUUAAAAGUGAUGUAUGUAGCUAGGUCAAGACAAAAAGAUGAUUACGUCUUGUGCAUGCUACUGCAAAUAUAACACGAAAGAGUGCAAAAAGAGAGUUAUCUUCUAUGUAAUCAAUGCGAGGUUCUUUAACUAGUGCUCUUGCUUUGAAGAUUUACUAAAUUAAAAAGCGGUAACAGAUCUUGGUUUUGUUGGCAGCCUUUCUCACUUUUAAAAUAUACAUAAAUAUAUAUGUAAGUAGCAAAUGCAACAUUGGAGACUUGCCGCAGUGAUAGCUAUAAGUAAAAGAAUACUGUCUCUCUCUAAUGUUGAUUGAUCAAUUAACUAAUCCUGAGCUAAUUUUAAUCCAUGAAUUUUAUUUCCUUAAUUCUUAUUUAAUUUUCAAAUUAUUGAGCUCUUCAGAACAUCCGUCUUAUACUAAUCUUUGCCGAACUUGGAAUUUUGGGGUGCAAGGCUUUACAAAACAUAUUAGCGAAUCGGCAAAGUGAAUAAGACCAUGGAACCAUUAGCAGUACGAGAUGAUGUGAACAUAUAUAUAUUUAAUUGUCGCUUUGUAACCGCUACAGCGUUUUUCGG